rnacentral:rRNA from 1 species
CACAUGACUCUCGGCAACGGAUAUCUCGGCUCUCGCAUCGAUGAAGAACGUAGCGAAAUGCGAUACCUGGUGUGAAUUGCAGAAUCCCGCGAACCAUCGAGUCUUUGAACGCAAGUUGCGCCCGAUGCCAUUCGGCUGAGGGCACGCCUGCCUGGGCGUCACG